GGUACAGGUCCUGUUGCCUGUGGGGGUUGGGGAAGACUGUGAGGGCAGUCACGGGCUGAGAGCUCUGUCCCCAAACCCAGUUCCAGAUUCGUCCCAGAGUUUAUCACCAGGCUCCUCCAUCCACCUGCCCAGUCCUGCUGAGCGAGCUUCAGCUAAAGGCUCAGCCCACAGCAGAGCACUCCAGGCCCCGGGGCUCCGCCUUUGGCUACAUACUCCACAUGGUCCUGGCCAUCCCAGCACAGGCUACACCCUCGUCCUCCUUCCUCAGCCACAUCCCAGAAACCUUCCAGGUCAUUUUCUCCAGGAAGCUUUCCACAGCCGCAGCAUCAGCCCUCCUCUAGCACUAAAUGUCUUUGUCACCCCAAAGCAGGAGCUCCCCAGGGCAGGGCCUGCCUUAUCGGUCUCACUGGAUUUCAUGGUUCUUGGGGAAGGCUUGGAAGCCAGCUGUGCCUCAGCCCUUUCUCUUGUCUCUGCAUCCAAAAGAAUAAAAUCUGUACCCUAGACCUGCUCCU
rnacentral:antisense_RNA from 1 species